GAUGAACGCUGGCGGCGUGCUUAACACAUGCAAGUCGAACGGGAAACCGUUUAAUGACGCUUCAGCAUGUUUGGCUGGUUUCUAGUGGCUGACGGGUGAGUAACGCGUGGGUAACCUGCCUUAUACAGGUGGAUAACAUUCAGAAAUGACUGCUAAUACCGCUUCAGUUCACGGGACCGCAUGUUCCGGUGUGUAAAACUCCGUCGGUAUAAGAUGGACGCGCGGUGGUGUAGCUUGUUGGCGGGGUAACGGCUCACCAAGGCGACGAUCGAUAGCCGGCUUGAGAGGGGGACCGGCCACAUUGGGACUGAGACACGGCCAAGACUCCUACGGGAGGAAGAGGAGGGGAAUAUUGCAAAAUGGCGGAAACCCUGCGGCACAGAGGCGGGGUGAAGGAAGAAGUAUCCGGGUAUGAAAACUCCGAUAAGCAGGGAAGAUAGUGACGGUACCUGAAUAAGAAGCCCCGGCUAACUACGUG
rnacentral:rRNA from 1 species